rnacentral:ncRNA from 1 species
UACAUGCGAGAAGCGCCGACCUCGCGGGAGGCGUGCAUUUAUCAGACCAAAAACCGGCCGCGUCUUCGGGCGCGUUCGCCUUGGUGACUCUGGAUAACUUUGCGGAUCGCACGGUCUAGCACCGGCGACGGAUCAUUCAAGUGUCUGCCCUAUCAACUUUCGUCGGUACGGUAUUUGCCUACCGAGGUUCUUACGGGUGACGGGGAAUCAGGGUUCGAUUCCGGAGAGGGAGCCUGAGAAACGGCUACCACAUCCAAGGAAGGCAGCAGGCGCGCAAAUUACCCAUUCCCGACGCGGGGAGGUAGUGACGAAAAAUAACAAUGCAGGACUCGUUCGAGGCCCUGUAAUUGGAAUGAGUACACUUUAAAAGCUUUAACGAGUAUCCAUUGGAGGGCAAGUCUGGUGCCAGCAGCCGCGGUAAUUCCAGCUCCAAAAGUAUAUAUUUAAGUUGUUGCGGUUAAAAAGCUCGUAGUUGGAUUUUGGGCGCAGGCGGCCGGUCCGUCGCAAGGCGUGUACUGGACGUCCUGGCCUUCCCUCCGGUUCUCCGCCGGUGCUCUUGACUGAGUGUCGGCGGCGGCCGGAACGUUUACUUUGAAAAAAUUAGAGUGUUCAAAGCAGGCUCUCGAGCCUGGAUAAUGGUGCAUGGAAUAAUGGAAUAGGACCUCGGUUCUAUUUUGUUGGUUUUCGGAGCGCCAGGUAAUGAUUAAGAGGGACAGACGGGGGCAUUCG